rnacentral:lncRNA from 1 species
GGAAGAGAUUUCAUACUUCUUGGUUGCAGGUCAAGGAGGUUCCAGCCACAUCUCCUCCACUUGUGCCUGUGUCCCGUUUUCAUAUCUGUGUACAGCAUAAAAGGGAAGAGAAGAGAAGCCAAAAAUGAAUCUACCACUGUGGUUUUAAGACACUUCUUAGAAAUUUUCUGCUCUCUCAAGACACGCCAUAGAAGCUCGAUUUGGUUCUGUACAAGCAGUCUCCACAUCUGGAAUAGACCGUGUAUUCCGAAAUCUACUUACAAGCUUCUGCAGCAUGCUUUUUGAUGAUGAUGAAAGCUGCAAGUUGCAACAGAUAACUCC